rnacentral:lncRNA from 1 species
CUUUUCAGAGAAGGUCUCGAAUCCUGAAGACAGACUUCGAGGGGAUGAUGCAGCAAGAAGACCCACACCAGAUGAGGGCGCCUUGAUAUUGGAUUUCCCAGCCUCCAGAACUAAGCCUGGGACUUGCCUCUGUGAUCUGGUGCUUUGGAGGGCCUUGGGCCUCAGGGCUAGCAAGGUCCCUUUCUGGAGAUUCCAGUUCCUCUGCCCGCCCUCCUUUACCUCUUUCUCCUCACACAUCUGUCUGAGGGAUGGGGAUGAGGGCUGCCAACCAAUGUUACCACUUGACAGACCACAAGAGGGCUGGUUCCAGUGCCUCCCUUGUUCAGCUGCUGACACUGCAGCUUGGCAGUCAUUGAAGGCAAUAUUUAGCUCCUACAUCUGACCUGAUUGGAAGAUCAGGCUUCUGUCGUCCUGGUUUCCUGGCCUUGGAUAGUUCUUCACUAACUUUUAUUCAUUAAGGCAGUGGGCAGAAAGCAGCAGAACCCUGUUUUUUCUUUUUUUGGGGUUUUUGUUGUUGUUGUUGUUGUUGUUUUGUUUUUUUUUGAAACAGGGUCUCCCUCUGUCACCCAUGCUGGAGUGCAGAGGUUCUGUCAUAACUCACUAUAGCCUCGACCUCCUGGGCUCAAGCAAUCUUCCCACCUCAGCCUCCUGAGUAGCUAGGGACCACAGGUGCAUGCCACUAUGCCUAACUAAUUUUUGUAUUUUUUUGUAGAGAUGGGGUUUUGCCAUGUUGCCCAUGCUGGUUUUGAACUCUAGAACUCAAGCAAUCAGCUGGCCUCAGCCUCCCAAAGUACUGAGAUUACAGGUGUGAGCCACUGUGCCUGGCCAGAACCUGUUUUUUGUUUGUUUGUUUUUGUUUUGUUUGUUUGAGGCGGAGUUUUGCUCUUGUUGCCCAGGCUGGAAUGCAAUGGCGCGAUCUCGGCUCACCGCAACCUCUGCCUCCUGGAUUCAAACAAUUCUCCUGCCUCAGCCUCCCAACCAGCUGGGAUUACAGGCAUGCGCCACCACGCCCAGCUAAUUUUGUAUUUUUAGUAGAGAUGGGAUUUCACCAUGUAGGUCAGGCUGGUCUCGAACUCCCAACCUCAGGUGAUCUGCCCGCCUCGGCCUCCCCAAGUGCUGGGAUUACAGACGUGAGCCACCGCGCCCAGCCCAGAACCUGUUUUUUAAUUUAAAAUUCUUAUUUAAAAGUUCUGUACAUUUUGAGAAUUCUUAAAACCUUCACACAUUUAAUUUAAAUAGCAGCAGAGAUAUCUGGUUCCUGGUAAUGUGAACAGGAUGGCUUGAUACAAGCUCCCUGCUCACUGCAUUUCCUCACUUCCUAAAUUCCUAGGGAUGUACCUCCAGUGAAUAAUAGUUUUUACCACCUGUACAUAUACAGGGUCAGCGGCCAUGGCUCCUUGCUCACCCAUUAACUAAGAUCACAUCCUACAUACAGUACCAGACUUAGAGCCAGAGCCCUGGUCAUGGCCUCCUAGGUUCUCACACUUGACUUUUACUCAAUCAUUUCACCAUUUAGGCUUUAUAAAAAGGGGAGACUGGCCGGGCGCGGCGGCUCAUGCCUGUAAUCCCAGCACUUUGAGAGGCUGAGGGAGGUGGAUGACCUGAGGUCAGGAGUUUGAGACCACCCAACAUGGUGAAACCCUGUCUCUACUAAAAAUACAAAAAUUAGCCAGGUAUAGUGGCACAUGCCUGUAGUCCCAGCUACUCUGAGGCAGCUGAGGCAGGAGAAUCGCUUGAACCUGGGAGGCGGAGGUUGCAGUGAGCCGAGAUCAUGCCACUGUACUCCAGCCUGGGUGACACAGUGAAACUCCAUCUCAAAUAAAUAAAUAAAUAAAAUGGGGGAAUUAUAUGACUGUUAGGGUCCUCCAGAUCUGAUACCCAGGACUGUAAUCUAAAGACUUGAUUAUGUUCAUUAAUACAUGGCAAUUUCAUUCCUUUCCUAAGAAUUACUAUCCAAAGAUCAUCCCUAAGCCCUUCCUACAAGAAACUGCCCCUUUUACAGAAUGAAUAAAGUUGUCCUAGAUUCCCGUUUUUUCCUCACUUUUUCUCAUAUCUCUAAGUGACAGUAUCCGGAGACAGCUCAGAAAGCUGGAUUUUUAGCUUUUCGUCAUAGGGCUUGUAUAUGUACAUGCAUGCAUGCACAAAUGUAUGUAUAUGUUCAUUCUUAAAGGGAUAUGGGCCAUGGGCACCUUCACUCUGUGGCCCCCCACCUCCCACCAGCCCUACUUGAAUUUUAGUAAAUAGUAAUUAAAUGCCAGGACCAGGCACAGUGGCUCACACCUGUAACCCCAGCAUUUUUGGAGGCUGAGGUGGGUGGAUCACCUGAGGUCAGGAGUUCGAGACCAGCCUGGCCAACAUGGUGAAACCCUAUCUCUACUAAAAAUACAAAAAUUAGCCGGGUUUGGUGGCACACAACUGUAAUCCCAGCUACUUGGGUGGCUGAGGCAGGAGAAUCACUUGAACCUGAGAGACGGAUGUUGCAGUGAGCCAAGAUCGCACAACUGCACUCCAGCCUAGGCGACAGAGCAAGACUCCAUCUCGAAAGAAAGAGGGAAGGAAGGAAGGGAGGAAGGAAGGAAGGAAGGAAGGAAGGAAGGAAGGAAGGAAAAAGAAGAGAAAAGGAACUCCAUCUCUACUAAAAAUACAAAAAAAUUAGCCAGGCAUGGUGGCGGGCACCUGUAAUCUCAGCUACUUCAGGAGUCUGAGACAGGAGAAUUGCUUGAACCUGGGAGGCCCUUGCAGUGAGCUGAGAUUGUGCCACUGCACUCAGCCUGGGCAACAAGAGUGAAACUCCGCCUCAAUGAUAAAUAAAUAAAUAAAUAAAUAAAUAAAUAAAUAAAUAAAUAAAUGCCAGGAUGCCUAGAAGAACAAAAGAGUAUGUACUAAGAGGCCAGAUAUAUGAGUGCAGCUGUAGUGAUAAGGAGGCCAUUGGGAUAGCCAAUGUCACAUAGGUCUAAAGUUUGGUUUUAGCUAGAGCUUUCUUCUACCCUAAUACUGCCCCCAUGUCCUGACAGCGGGUAUUGCAGCAAAUCCUGGACUGCAGCCAGAAGCUCUGGUCUCUACAUCAGCUUCUCCAUUUGAAACAUCUCAGAAUUUGAAUUUUGACUACUCUGGUGUUAACAUCAAAAUGCAUUUCAUGGGCCGGGCCUGGUGGCUCACGCCUGUAAUGCAGCACUUUGGGAGGCCAAGGCAGGCGGAUCACGAAGUCAGGGGAUCGAGACCAUCCUGGCCAACAUGGUGAAACCCUGUCUCUAUUAAAAAUACAAAAAAUUAGCCGGCGUGGUGGCAGGCACCUGUAGUCCCAGCUAUUCAGGAGGCCUCAGCAGGAGAAUUGCUUGAAGCCAGGAGGUAGAGGUUGCAGUGAGCUGAGAUCGUGCCACUGCACUCCAUCCUGGGCGACAGAGCGAGUUUCCAUCUCAAAAAACCAAAAUCAAACAAACAAAAAAACCCACAAAAAACCAAAAUGCAUUUUAUAGUGUUAAAGAAAACAUAUUUAUGUGGCAAUUUCUACACAUUUUUCUUCUGCAUUACUUCAUUUAAUCCUUCUCUCAAUCCUGAGAGCAAAGGACAGAAAAUGUUGUUCCCACUGUUUUCCACUGUUUGGUUUUGGUUUGUUUCCUUUCUUUUUUUUUCUUUGAGACAGGCUCUUGCUCUGUCACUCAAGCUGGAAUGCAGUGGCAUGAUCAUAGCUCACUGUAGCCUUGACUUCUUGGGCUCAAGUGAUCCCACCUCAGCCUCCCAAGUAGCUGGGACUACAGGCACACACCACCACAUCUGGCUAAUUCUUUUUUAUUUUUAGUAUAGACGAGGUCUCACUAUGUGACCAGGCUGGUCUCCAACUCCUGAGCUGAAGCUAUCCUCCUGCCUCAGCCUCCCAAAGUGCUGGGAGAUCUGGCCCUUGUUUUUUGUUUUUGUUUUUGUUUUUUAUGAGAUGGGUGGCUGUUGCCCAGACUGGAGUCCCGUGACACGAUCACAGCUCACUGCAGCCUCGACCUCCCCAGGCUCAGGUGAUCCUCUCACUUCAGUUUUUUUUGUAUUUUAGUAGAGACAGAGUUUUGCCAUGUUGCCCAGGCUGUUCUCGAAUUCCUGAGCUCAAGGGAUCUGUCUGCCUCAGCCUCCCAAAGUGCUAGGAUUACAGGCAGGAGUGAGCCACUGUGCCUGGCCCCUUGCUGUUUUUUUGUUUUGUUUUGUUUUUGUUUGUUUGUUUUACAGCAAAUAAAAAUGCAGUCUGGAUUUUAAGGGCCACACAGCAGCAAGAACUAAAACCUGGGUCUCCAAGGUCCAAGUCCAGGACUUCUCUAUGACACCCUACUGCAGCCCUUUGCUGGAUACCAUACAAAGCAAAUUGAGCAGAUGUGUUCUCUGCCCUCUGAAAGUUUGGACUCAAAUGGACAGCCACAAUUCUGGCAAACAUAAAAGGACAAAGUGAUUUAGUGUCAACUCACAUACGCAAUAAAUAACUGAGUUAAAUAGAUAAGGAAAGGCAUGUUCACCUGGUCUACUGAUAUUUUUUAAAUUCCAGUUGAGUAGAGAGCAAUGUUAAUAAGACUAAGGUUUUGGGCCAGUCCCAUUUUUGCCUACUUGCUUUGCACCUGGAAAAAUAUUUGUAACUGCAUGCAAACUCUUUCCCCUCCUCGUCUUCAACAAUCUGUAAACUUUCCCUGAGCAGCUACCAAGUGUAACACAAAGUGGGAAUGAAGGACCAUUAAGAAAUCAUCUCUGUGCCAUGCGCGGUGGCUCAAGCCUAUAAUCCCAGCACUUUGGGAGGCCGAGGCGGGUGGAUCACCUGAGCUCGGGAGUUCAAGGCCAGCCUGGCCAAUAUGGUGAAACCCUGUCUCUACUAAAAAUACAAAAAAAAAAAAAAAAAAAAAAUAGCUGGAUAUGAUGGCAUGUACCUGUAGUCCCAGCUACUCAGGAGGCUGAGGCAGAAGAAUCGCUUGAACCCAGGAGGCAGAGGUUGCAGUGAGCUGAGAUUGCUCCAUUGCACUCCAGCCUGAGAAACAAAAGCAAAACUCUAUCCCCACCCCCCCCAAAAAAAAGGAAGGAAAAGAGAAGAAAAAAAGUCAUCUGUGCCCUCGAGCAACAUCUUUAACCAUUCGCCUAAUUCAAACCACUGGGAUGAAAAUGUAUAUCCUGUAUAUACCAUCUCUACUGCUGGGAAAAAAGACACGUCAACUCAAUACCCAUCCUAUUUUUAGACGGCCUGAGAUUCGUCCUUAUCCAUGCAGGGCAGUCGGGUAGGACAAUGAAGAGGUGGACUUCUGAAUUUGAGAGAAAUUGGUCUUAUCCCAGAGAAGUGAGGCCACCACCCACCUGCAAUAGCUUGGCUUCCUGGAUCCCUAAGCAAAGACAGAGUCUUGCUCUGUCACUCGGGCUGGAGUACAGUGACACAAUCACGGUUCACUGCAGCCUGGACCUCCCAGGCUCAAGUGAUCCCCCUGCUGCAGCCUCCUGAGUAGCUGGGACUACAGGCCUGUGCCACCAUGUCCAGGUCCGGUCCACUGCUAGGAGAUCCAUAUCUACUCUUUGGGAGUUCUCCAGAGGAAAAAAUCAACAGGCGGGAGAAAGAUACUCUGCUAGCUUCAGAUUCAUUAGUACUAGGAAAUGGAGAGAUAGGAGGUAUAAUGUAUUAGGGAAGCAAGGGAUUCAGAACCAGGUGCCCACUGACUCUGAGAAGCACUGGGUGCACAGAGGGUAGCAGACAAGCAAGAGGGUGGAAUUUGCAGCAUCUCAUCUUGGUGAGACAGUUGGAAGACUUUUCUGCCAAUUAUAGUGGUUAAACACUGACUCAACAUCAAACAACGGCAUGAGGGGUCAGAGCCUUCAUUCGUGGACAAGUUUCAAAAACAUGGGAGCACCACCUGUCAUGAGCAAUUUAGUCAGAACAGAAGAGAAUAGAUCACACCCAACAAGACAGAAAAAGCUGCUUUCUGGAGAGGGCGGGAGCUAAUAUUUCCUAACACGGUGAAAUUGUGAAGUGCUUUUUGCAGCCCUUCAUAAUUUCAUCAUCCAAAGGGUUUGCUUUUGGAAUUCUUAGACACUUAAUUCUGUCCCUGCUUUCCGUGUCACUUCCACGGGACACUGAAUUUGGGAAGAGGGAGACCUCACCAAUGAUGGGAAGAACAGAUUGGGGGCUGGCGCCCUUUUGGGUUUGCCAUGUGAACAUCCUCCUGGAACAGUCUCCAUUCUGUCCCAGCAAGACACACUCUGCUCUGUGAAGAACCCAGGUGGGAAAAAAAAAAAAAUCUAUGAGGCCACAGUGGAAAUGCAGCUCAGCAGGACUCUCAGGUACCCCAAAAUUGUCCCAUCUGACAACUCACCACAUUCUAUUUAUUUAUUUAUUUAUUUAUUUUGAGAUGGAGUCUCACUGUGUCACCCAGGCUGGAGUGUAGUGGCGUGAUCUAGGCUCACCGCAGCCUACGCCUCCCAGAUUCAAGCGAUUCUCCUGCCUCAGCCUCCCAUGUAGCUGAGACUACAGGCAUGCGCCACCACACCCAGCUAAUUUUUGUAUUUUUAGUAGAGAUGGGGUUUCGCCAUGUUGCCCAGGCUGGUCUCAAACUUCUGACCUCAGGUGAUCCACCCCCGCCCCUCAGCCUCCCAAAGUUCUGGGAUUACAGUCAUGAGACACUGCACCUGGCCAACACAUUCUGUUUUCAUCAUUAGUGCCUGUCCUCCCUGCUAGCUCAUGGGCUCCCCCAGAGCAGGCAUGUUUGCCCUAGUCACCAUCAAAACUGUCUUAGUACCUGUCACGGUGCCUGGCACAUAGCAGUUAUUCAGUAAAUGUUUGUUGAAUAAAUCAACUAUAAACAUCAAAAUGAUUCCCUUAAAAAGGUCUUCAUUCUUGUUCAGAUGUAGAGAGUUACAUUACAAACACUUGUGUGCUGGGGAUAGGAAGGGACACUGUUGGGUAAUAAUAAGUGCUUGAAACAUGUGGGAGGGCCCUGGAAAAUAGCCCAAAAAGUUCACAUUGUAUCUGAUAAGCAACAGGGAGCUACUGCAGGUUCUUCAGGUCACCAGUAGGCAAGCAGGUGGUGGCUUUCCAGGCUGAAAAGUGUAUUUGAUCUGGAAGAUAGUAGGAUCACAGACAAACAGUGAGUCUUGGAGUAGCCUGAUCACAGUGGCAAGCUCAAGAGACAAUUUUAUGGCUGAGGGCUGAAUGUUUCAGCUGGGUGGGUGUCAAGAAACCAGCAAGACUCCAGGCAUGGUGGCUCAUGCCUGUAAUCCCAACACUUAGGGAGGCCGAGACAGAGGAUCCCUUAAGCCCAGGAGUUUGAGACCAGCCUGGGCAGUAUAAGGAAGCCCUGUCUCUACAAAAAUAAAAACAUAACAAAAUUAGCCAAGUGUGGUGGCGUGUGCCUGUGCUUCUAGCUCCUUCAGAGGCUGAAGUGGGGAGGAUCACUCGAGCCUGGGAGGUUGAGGCUUCACUGAGCUGUGAUCAUGCUGCUGCACUCCAGCCUGGGCGACAGAGUGAGACCCUGUCUCAAAAAACAAACAAACAAACAAGAAACCCAGCAAGAAUUAAGAAUUCUGGUGAGC